UAAUAUUAUUUUUAUUUUAAUCCUAUGUGAAAAAAUUGAAUUAUUUAUUUUAUUUUAUUAUGUCACAACAAUCAAUUAAGUAUAUAUCAAUUCCAUUGACAAUAUCAUGCAAAUGCGCCUUCUAUAUCAUUUCUUAUCUUAUCCCAAAGUCGCGAAAUAAACAAUUUUCC